GUACUAAUUUCCCUUCUCCAUUAUCUAUCUUGAGAGUGAAAGUGAGAGAUCUAUGGGAGAACCUUGUCAUUAUUCUCUCUCUAACUACUUCGCCUUUUUUAUCACCCAAUCUCUUAUCUCUAUCAUCUCUUUGCUAUUUUGUUCCUAGUUGGGACCAUUGAAGAAUUUAAGCCUCUCAUCACUUUUAGAGAAUUCGGAUUUUCCUACGAUCUUUGAAGAUCUUCAAAUUUUCCGACAGCAUUCUUGAACCUUCUCAUACAAAGAGCGUAUACAUUCGAACUCGUAUCUUGCAUCUCAAUCUGUUGCUUCUCUGUUUUUUUUUUUUUUUUAAGAGUGUAUGCAUUUGUUUUGUAUGAACACAGAUCUUUGAUUUUUUCAAAUCUAUUGGAGAUCUAUAUAUAUAUAUAUAUGUAUGUGUUUUCUCUGAUAUUGAUGUUCAUUGUUUUGGUUUGUCAAUUUCUAUGCCCUUUCUCUGAUAGAAAUCUAUAUAUAUAUAUAUAUAUACAUAUUUGUGUGUGUGUGUGCAUGUUUUAGCAAUCUCUGAUAGAAAUCUUUCUGUUGAACGUCUGAUUAUCAUCUCCUUGGUGUAUUGGUUGGUGGUUAUAAAGAGAAGAAGAGGAUAAUUUGCUAAUCAGCACUGCAAUCUCCUUCAUGACUCUGCUUGAAGUGCCACAAAUUGAGAAACCAGUGAAAAUUCCACUUGUUGGCAUUUGAGGUCCACGAGAAGUUUGAAGCCAACAAGCAUGUGGACUUAAGAGUACAUAUAUUUUGGAUAUAUAAAAAUUGUGAUUAGCAUGAUGCAUGGUUGGCGAACGGAUAUGUAAAUUUGAGCCAUUUGUGUUCGUUAUUAAAUUCUCAAGCUGCCUUCUUUAGUUAAAUUCUUUGGCUUAAAUCAUUGAUUAUACUCCCAUGUUGAACUGUUUGUUUAUUUCC